GCCAGGUGCUUGGAGUCAGACAGGAAUGUCUCAAGAGCUUCCAUUCUGCGGAGUACUAUGAUGGGAGGAGGUUUCUGUCCCCACAGGAAUCAUCCUCUAGUUAGGAGAGUCUGCCUUGGCUGCUGGGAGAUCCACAGCUCAUCUGCACCAGACCGAAACCCAGGAGCAACCCUCUCAGCCUCUCGGCCUCUGGGAGCACAAACCUCAUGCUCUAACUUGACCAGCUGAAAGUUCCUUGAAGGUUUCCUUUCUCUGUGCACUUACCGCCCCUCCCACCAGUCUCCAAUGACAAGUUACUGAACACCUACUAUGUGCUAGGAAGCCAUGAAGACAGUUUGGAUACAAAGGUGGACUCUGAUCCUUCUGGGCACCUGGACCAUAUCAACUGACCUGGGUGUGUCCCCAGUGUCUUGAACUCGUUACCACUCCUUGCAGAUUCACUUCACCACACGCUGGGACACAAAGCCCAGGCUAAGCCUGCAGGCAGCUGCAGCCAAUAUGGUCUGCACGGUUGAGCACAGCAGGGACUUUGAGCAAGGACACGAUUUCACCCCCACCACGUGUUUCUCCUCUGAGGGAAGCUGAACACCCCAGGUGACCUUGCCCCCUCUGGGAGGGGGGACGCGUUUCACAGUGGCAGCAGGAGGCUGCGGGUCAGUGAGGGUGAUGACCAGGCCUGCAGAGAUCCUGCUCUGUCUCUGCAGAACCCCAUAAAUCUUUCCAUCAGGAGUAAUUCCCUUUGGAUCAAGAGAGCCCUCUGCAUUCCUGAAAUCAGUGAAGGCAAAAUGUACAAGGAUUUCUGAGAAAAGUGAAUGUGGUGUGAGCAUGAUCCCUGGGUGUUACUAUGCAGAGAGAAAGCCUUUUUUUUUUUUUUUUAACUCCACUGAAUGGUGUUCUUUGCUCUCAAGUUAACUCAUGCACUGGAUUUGGUCCAAGAACAUUUUGUUUCUUGAUUUCUAGCCAGGCUUCUCUCAGUUGUGGCACAUUCCCCUCUUUGCACCCUUCCUUUCCUUGUCCCUUUCUUUCUCCCUUUCUUUUUUUAAUUUUUAAAUAAUUAUUUCAACUUUCCAUGUGACUAAACUGAUAUAGAGGAAAACCCACCAGCUGAGGUAGGGCUUCCCCUGGAGCGAGGCCCAAGGGUCUCGGAAGGGCUGGCCCCUCCCUUCCCCAGCAACGGCCUGCACAGCAAGGUAUGUCUGAAAGCAGCUGAAGCAGAGAGCGUUUGAACUCUGCCCCCUGCCAAAUGAGUUCCAGAUGUGUCAACUCCAGCCUCCUCUGUUCUCCGACUGUAGCCCUGCCAACAUACAUCUGUAGAUUGCUAGUGCACAGGAAACAUGAAAGAGUAUCUUUUACCACAUCUGCUCUUUCCCCAGCUCUCCUCCUCUGCCUCCUCGGACCUUGCCCUAUAUUUCUUUUCCCCCCUUCAGCAAAUUCAUUAAGGAAUCGCUGCACAACUCUCCUUGGCCGCAGAUGCCAGCUCGUCUGUCUUCCCCCAAGCCUGUUCGUGGUUUUCUGGACAGCUGACCAAAGCCCCACGAGAAUCAUUAAAGACGCCUAUUGGGUUUGCUGCAGGAGAAAAGAACUGAAUUUUCUCCGUUGGGCUGGUGCCAGUUAUCGAGCUGGAAAGGAAGGUUGUGGCUGUAAGAAGGGCAGAGCAGAGCUCUGGAGAUGAAAACACAGGUCUGCACAUGGAAUGUGCCUGCUGGCACAUCCCUGGGGGAGGUGAGGCCUUUCACGGCUCACCUCUUCCCAUGGAUGUUCUGGUUGCGGGGAACGCACAAGGCAGGUUUCUGUAAAACUGGAGGUGUUGAGUAGUAUGAGUUCCUUGCUUUCCCUCCAUCCCCUGGGGAAUGGCACCUGUUCUAAAUGUAACUCAAAGGUAGAGAAAAGAAUCAGAGAUCCUUUUAGCGAAGUAGACCAAGAGAUUUUUACUGAGGCACUUAUUCUCACAAGGAAAAUAAUUUGAUUGUUGUGUAAAUAAACGCUUGACUUUCAUUCUGCCCUUUAUCCACGUGGACUCUGAAUUCUCUCUAGCUCCAUACCAAGGGACAUAGAAUGGAGCCAAGUGACAAAUCUGGGAGAGGAAAAGAGAGUGCACUAGGGAAGGGAGCAGAAAGUUGAAAGGGCCUAUGGGCUCAGGGGCCUGAGAGAGGAGCAGGCGGGAGGCCCCGCUGACUCGGAACCUGUGUCCAGCACACAGGCUCACCUGGGAGGCCAUGGAGCUCCCAGGAGUUAAAGAGAGCUAAGUGAGCCUAACAUGGUUUUCUGGACCCUGGGGAAGACUGCCCCGGCCUCUGACUGAAGGACAUAGUAGAGAGUGGGUGACAUUUACAUUCUUCUUUAAUAGUCCCAAGCACUCCCAUCUCUGGUUGUCAAGCGAAGCCCUAAGAUUUGCCUGGGUUUCUGCAAUAGUAUCCUCCCUCUUUGCAACCAACCAAAAAACGUGUCACCUCAUCCCUCAAGCAGGGGUUGCUCCAGAAAACAAGGGGAGGAGUUAAAGCUGGCUCAGGAAUGCCUCUUUCCACCAUACCUCUCCAUGCAGCUCCCCCAAAGACAUUGGAACAGUAGCUUCUUCCGAAAGAAGUGCAUAGUCUGCAGAUUCCUUCCUGUAAGGGAAGGUGGGUGAAGGGUAAAUAAACCUUUUCCUUCUGAAUGAGAACUUGACUUUAGGUUAGCAAUAUAGCUCUGUUACUCUGGCAACCUCUUAAGGGUAGGUAACAAACUACAUUUCCAGGCAACAUUACUAAAGACAAAAAUGACCCCUGAUUGGUAAAUUGC